rnacentral:rRNA from 1 species
AUUGAACGCUGGCGGCAGGCCUAACACAUGCAAGUCGAGCGGAGCGGCGGACGGGUGAGUAAUGCCUAGGAAUCUGCCUGGUAGUGGGGGAUAACGUCCGGAAACGGGCGCUAAUACCGCAUAUUAUUCGAGCGGCCGAUGUCUGAUUAGCUGGUUGGCGGGGUAAAGGCCCACCAAGGCGACGAUCAGUAGCGGGUCUGAGAGGAUGAUCCGCCACACGGGGACUGAGAAACGGCCCAGACGCCUACGGGAGGCAGCAGUGGGGAAUUUUGGACAAUGGGCGCAAGCCUGAUCCAGCCAUGCCGCGUGUCUGAAGAAGGCCUUCGGGUUGUAAAGUUCUUUCGGUGACGAGGCGUUAAUCACAGAAGAAGCACCGGCUAACUCCGUGCCAGCAGCCGCGGUAAUAC